UGGGGAAUUUUGGACAAUGGGGGAAACCCUGAUCCAGCCAUCCCGCGUGUGCGAUGAAGGCCUUCGGGUUGUAAAGCACUUUUGGCAGGAAAGAAACGUCAUGGGUUAAUACCCCGUGAAACUGACGGUACCUGCAGAAUAAGCACCGGCUAACUACGUGCCAGCGGCCGCGGUAAUACGUAGGGUGCAAGCGUUAAUCGGAAUUACUGGGCGUAAAGCGUGCGCAGGCGGUUCGGAAAGAAAGAUGUGAAAUCCCAGAGCUCAACUUUGGAACUGCAUUUUUAACUACCGGGCUAGAGUGUGUCAGAGGGAGGUGGAAUUCCGCGUGUAGCAGUGAAAUGCGUAGAUAUGCGGAGGAACACCGAUGGCGAAGGCAGCCUCCUGGGAUAACACUGACGCUCAUGCACGAAAGCGUGGGGAGCAAACAGG
rnacentral:rRNA from 1 species